GAAAGUAAUUUGCUUUGUCGGUAGCUCUUAGUGAAAAUUGUAAAUUUCCAAUUAAAUAAGUUAAAUGUAAUUGAAAACUGUUCAUAAUGUGUGAGUAAUAAGUGUUUGCAAUAGAAAAUUAGUGUAAGAUGUGCGCCGGCAGUGAAAACAAGCGAUUUACGUUGUAAUGCGUAAAAGGGGACUGCCGCCGCCGUAGUUGCGUGCAAGCAAAUGUGUAAAAGUCAAAAUAACUUUAAAUAUAUAAACGUUUUAGGUAUUACAACAACAUAUUGCAGUGCAGCACAUUUUAAAUACAAUAUUGGUGAGUUAAUAAGCAAUGAAAAUGCAGCAGCGCAGUGGUUCUCAUACAAAGUGCCUCAUAUUCUACUCAAUACGUAUAAUUAACAGUUUGUGUGCCAGUGUAAAUAGUGUUGGUUAAUUGCACUGGCUAUUGUAUAUACGCAUUUCUUGCUGUUGUUAAGUUAAACGAAAGUAAAGUUUCGUAAACUAUAUAUUUUGUAAAUUUAAUUAUUCAUUCAUUUAUAAGAUUAAAGUAAAACGAUAUUUUAAUUUAAAUUAUAAACUUUUUUGUUUAAAUAUAAUCUUUAAAAAAAUGCAACACUGUGCAUAGCCAUAACACUGCCGCCAUUUCCACAAUUUGCUGUCAGUUUCCGUCUUCUCGUGCGCGAAAGUUAUUUGCUUUGUCGGUAGCUCUUAGUGAAAAUUGUAAAUUUCCAAUUAAAUAAGUUAAAUGUAAUUAAUAACUGUUCAUAAUGUGUGAGUAAAAAGUGUUUGCGAUAGAAAAUAAGUGUAAGCUGUGCACCGGCAGUGAAAAUAAGCGAUUUACGUUGUAAUGCGUAAAAGGUUACUGCCGCCGCCGUAGUUGCGUGCAAGCAAAUGUGUAAAAGUCAAAAUAACUUUAAAUAUAUAAACGUUUUAGGUAUUACAACAACAUAUUGCAGUUCAGCACACUUUAAAUACAAUAUUGAUCGUCUGUGUUUCUGAUAGUCAAUAUUUAAAUAUGUUUCCGUAAUAUCUUCGACAUCGCGUAAAAAUUUGGCCGGUAACGAGUGAUUUGUGUAAAUAUUCAAUUUCCUGGUUAAUUGUAUGUUAAAUAAUUUAAUUUGUUGAUAAAAUAAAUAUUGUGAUAUAAUUUCAUCGAUUUAUGUAUAGCUUUAGUGCGGUAAAAGUUUUUAAAUAUUUCGAAAGUAAUAUAUGUAAAUAUGUGCAUCAAAUACAUAUAUAUAUAUAUGUAUAUGCAGGAGUUUGUGUGUAUGUGUCUAUAUGUGUAAUAGGAAAUAUAAGUAAAAGCAAUAAUGUAAUAGAAGAGGAGUUCGGCGAUUUUUACCAGCCAUUGUGUGUGAAAGUAAUCCUGGUUGAAUCAGUAAUAAAGCCAAUAAUGUGUGGUGUUUUAUGAAGAAAAAGUUUUUGUGAGUGUUUGUUAGCAAGUGAAAGUGUUUGCAAUUAUAUGAAAGAAUUGUUUUUGUAUUUAAAUAACGGCAGAGUCAUCGAAGAAAUAUCAAACUACAAAUAAAUGGUCAUUUGGUGUGACGACAUCAAUGGUCGUCACUGGCCACGUAAUAUUUAGUUGAUAUAAUUAAUGGCAGAGUUGCCAAAUCGGCAAUAUAAAUGUUGGGGU